GUUCUAACAUUGGUCCCUUAUCGGGAUUGUGGACAGUGUCUGGUGGGUAGUUUGACUGGGGCGGUCUCCUCCCAAAGCGUAACGGAGGAGCACGAAGGUUGGCUAAUCCUGGUCGGACAUCAGGAGGUUAGUGCAAUGGCAUAAGCCAGCUUAACUGCGAGACAGACACGUCGAGCAGGUACGAAAGUAGGUCAUAGUGAUCCGGUGGUUCUGAAUGGAAGGGCCAUCGCUCAACGGAUAAAAGGUACUCCGGGGAUAACAGGCUGAUACCGCCC
rnacentral:rRNA from 11 species